rnacentral:rRNA from 2 species
AUUAUUAAGAGUUUCAUAUUGUUAGUAUAUACUAAAUAUGAAAACAAAAAAUUAUGGCGGUAUUUUAAGCUUUUCAGAGGAAUUUGCUCUAUAAUGGAUAUUACGCCUAAAUCUUACUAAGGUUAGUUAAGCAGUUUGUAUACCACUAUUAAAGUAAUAAUUUAUAAUUAUUACUUCAAUUUAUAGUUUUUUAAAAAAAUUUAAGUCAAGGUGCAGCAAAAAUUUUAGAAUGAAGUGAAUUACAUUUCUUUUUAGAAAAAUAAAAUGAAAAAUGUUUUAGGAUUUGAUAGUAAAAUUUUAAUAAAAUGAAAAUUUGAAUUAAGCUCUAAAAUAUGUAC